AUCGAACGCUGGCGGCAUGGCUAAAACAUGCAAGUCGAACGCGAAAGGGAGCAAUCCCAAGUAGAGUGGCGGACGGGCGAGUAAUGCAUUCCUAACGUACCUCGAGGUCAGGGAUAGCCAAGGGAAACCUUGGGUAAUACCUGAUGACCCCACCGGGCUGCAUGGCCUGGUGUGCAAAGGCUUGUAUGCCUCGAGAUCGGGGAAUGUGCUAUCAGGUAGUUGGNGAGGUAACGGCUCACCAAGCCUAAGAUGGCUAGCGGGUGUGAGAGCACGACCCGCCGCAUCGGGACUGAGACACUGCCCGGACUCCUACGGGAGGCUGCAGUAACGAAUCUUCCGCAAUGGGCNCAAGCCUGACGGAGCAAUGCCGCGUGUGGGAUGAAGUCCCUCGGGAUGUAAACCACUGUCAGGAUUUAGCAACACAAUGAGCAAAUCCAGAGGAAGAGACGGCUAACUCUGUGCCAG
rnacentral:rRNA from 1 species